AUGGAUUCGAGCAGCAGGCAGCAGUACAGGCACGGCUACGUGCCCAGAGGCCCAAAGAAAGGAAGAGAGAGAGAGAGAGAGAGAGAGAGAGAGAGAGAGUCCUUGAAGCUUCUCCGGGUGCGUACCGCCGGGCAACGCCACUUCUUGUCGCUGCCGCCGCUGCUGCUGCAUCUCGUUCCCGUCCUCCUGCUCCUGCCGCUCUCACGCCCGGCCACGGCGGCGGUGACGCACCUGCCAGGAUUCGAUGGGCCUCUGCCCUUCAACCUUGAAACAGGGUACGUGGGCGUGGAGGAGGAGACCGGGGCGGAGCUCUUCUACUACUUCGUCGAGUCGGAGAGGAGCCCCGGCACCGACCCUCUGCUCCUGUGGCUCACUGGUGGGCCCCGCUGCUCGGUCAUCAUGGGCCUGGCCUUUGAAAUUGGUCCUCUCAAGUUUGUGUUGGCACCGUAUAGUGGCGGUUUGCCGGAGUUGGUGUAUAACCCAUAUUCAUGGACAAAGAUGGCAAACAUACUCUUGUUGGAUUCACCGGUCGGUUCCGGUUUUUCGUUCGCUCGUGAUCCCAAAGGCUACGAUGUUGGGGACUACUCAUCAUCUUCGCAAGUCCAAAUAUUUCUGAAUAAGUGGUUCACGGAUCAUCCGCAAUUCCUCUCAAAUCCUUUCUACAUUGGUGGAGAUUCAUAUGCUGGAAAGGUGAUUCCACUUAUUGCACAAGGCAUUUCAGAAGGAAUUGACAUGGGGCAGCAACCUACCAUCAAUCUCAAGGGAUAUAUGGUUGGCAACCCUAUAACAGAUCCAAAGUUUGAUGAAAAUUACAAAGUUCCAAGUGCUCAUGGCUUUGGGAUAAUAUCUGAUGAAAUAUAUGAGACUGCAGUGAAGAACUGCAAAUGA
rnacentral:rRNA from 1 species